rnacentral:rRNA from 1 species
AUGCAGUCGAGGGGCAGCAUAAAUUACUUGUAAUUUGAUGGCGACCGGCGAACGGGUGCGUAACGCGUAUGCAACCUACCUUUUACUAGAGGAUAGCCAAGAGAAAUUUUGAUUAAUGCUCUAUACACUUUAAGACUCACAUGAGUCUAAAAGAAAAGCUCCGGCGGUAAAAGAUGGGCAUGCGUUCUAUUAGCUUGUAGGUGAGGUAAUGGCUCACCUAAGCUUCGAUAGAUAGGGGUCCUGAGAGGGAGACCCCCCACACUGGUACUGAGACACGGACCAGACUUCUACGGAAGGCAGCAGUAAGGAAUAUUGGACAAUGGAGGCAACUCUGAUCCAGCCAUGCCGCGUGAAGGAAGAAGGCCCUAUGGGUCGUAAACUUCUUUUAUACAGGAAGAAAUCUUUCCACGUGUGGAAAGUUGACGGUACUGUAAGAAUAAGGAUCGGCUAACUCCGUGCCAGCAGCCGCGGUAAUACGGAGGAUCCAAGCGUUAUCCGGAAUUAUUGGGUUUAAAGGGUCCGCAGGCUGUUUGUUAAGUUAGAGGUGAAAUCCUACCGCUCAACGGUAGAACUGCCUUUAAAACUGGCAAACUUGAGUUAUUGUGAAGUAAUUAGAAUGUGUAGUGUAGCGGUGAAAUGCAUGGAUAUUACACAGAAUACCGAUUGCGAAAGCAGAUUACUAACAAUUAACUGACGCUGAGGGACGAAAGCGUGGGUAGCGAACAGGAUUAGAUACCCUGGUAGUCCACGCCGUAAACGAUGGUCACUAGCUGUUUGAUGUACAUUGGUACAUUGAGUGGCUAAGCGAAAGUGAUAAGUGACCC